CCGCCAGGCUCCUCAGUCCAUGGGAUUCCCCAGGCAAGAAUACUGGAGUGAGUCGCCAUGCCCCCCUCCAGGGGAUCUUCCCAACCUAUGACUGAACCUGCAUCUCUUGUGUCUCCUGCAUUGCAGGCGAGUUCUUUCCCAUGUAUUCCAGUCAUCAGCAUGUACCGUGAACACUUCCUCCCUGGCUUCUGCUCCCACCUCCUUCCAGCACAUUCCUCCCCAACAGUGUGUCACUGAGGAGGGAGGUGUGGUGGAUCAGUAUCUUCACUGGGGCUUCAGUGCACCCUCCGGCCCAGAGGCUAGUGCCUGGGUCCUGCCCGCUGGGCACCGCUGCAGUUUCUCAAAUGCCUUUCGACACUUACUGCAGGAUGACCUUUGAGCACUGGUGCAAACGCUCAGUCUAUUUUUUCCCAGCCUUGGGGACUGGCCUGCUGUCUCAGUUUCAGCUUCCCAUGUAUUUACUGCCUGCAGAAGGUUGGCGUUCAGCCACCCACUCCUGGAUCUCACAGUGGUCAUCAGUCGUCCCUUAUUCCAGAGCAGUAGUUCUUGACAGUGGAAAUACUGAAAAGCACAGAACGGUGCUUCUAGAAUGUCAACUCUGUGAGGACAGGCACACUCUGCUUUUGCUCAGCUUUGGAUUAUCUGGAUCCACAAUUCCAAGAAUGGUGCCUGGCACACAGGAAAUGCUCAUCAGGAAGUGCAUUCUGAACGAAUAGGUGUGAAAUGUGAGCGCCUAGAGGAAACAGCCAGGACGUGAGUAUAGCACUUGUCUUUGGGUGGUAGGACUGUUCUGGUUUUUCUGUAAGGUUGUACAGAGAAACCCGAAGGAACUUUUUGGCCAACCCAAUAUAAUAUAUGAUAAGCAGACAAGGGGCCUGUUUACUUGCAGUCAUGUGACCUUGGGUAAGUUGCUUCUCCUUUCUGUGCCUAAGCUUCCCCAUCAACAUGAAUACCUCCCUUGGCUGUUAGGAAGGUUAAAUGAGAUCAUGCCUGUAGAUAGGGAACCUCUGGUGCUGGGGACACAGGAAGCACUCGAUCAACAUCACACCGUCACUUUGUUGUUGUCAUCGUUUGGUCCUGAUCGUGAUCGGACAUUUCCGUGGAUACCUGGAGGCUUGCCUCGAAGGCUUCGAGAGAAGAGGUAGUUGUGGGGAGGACAGAGAACCUGGCUUGCAACGAGCUGACCUGCUGUUUCCUGGCCAAGUGACUGCAGUCAGGGGCAGUAACUUCUGAGCCACUGUUCUUUCUGCACCACAGAGACUUUUGUGUGAAUCAAUAAGAUGUGAUGAUGUCAGGUUCCAACCAGGUGUGUGUUAUUAUUUUUAUUACCUAACAAGUUAAAAAAAAUACAAGGAGUCUCCAGGCCUUUCUCCUCUCCUUAAUGGACUUACUGCUCUCCUUCAUCACGAACAGAGAGUUCCUUGUCCCCAACAGCCAUGAGAGCCUGGUUACAGGGCAGAGCCUGCAGCCCAGGGUGGUUUUUCUGCCAGGCCCAGCGAGGCUCCUGUCUCUCGAUAACCCGGGUCCUCCCUUUCUCCUGCCCCAGUGCUUCCCACACAGCUGCAGCCUCAUUAUCCAGGGGGACUGAGAGCUUCGGAAAGGAGCUUAACCGGGGCUAGGCUUUCAAGUGUUCGUCAUAAAGCUUCAAAGUUCACACCUUCAUUAAGAUGUGAAGAGUCAGGCCCUCCCCGCACUUCUCCUGGGGCUAUUGUUCCCUUCCCGUCCGGCUGCAGAGUCAAAAGACAAGCGGGAUUGGUUUUCUUUGUCCAGACAGCUCUCCUAACCAGAAAGGCUAGACCUAAAAUUCCAUGGACAGAGGAGCCUACACUCAGGCUACAGUCUAUAUAUAGGGUUGCAAAGAGUCAGACAUGACUGAGUGACUGAACACACAGCCCUCAGUUUCAAGAUGAGCAACAAAACAGAGACUGGUUUUCAGGAGAUGUAUGUGUACCAAUGCACAGAAAAGGUCCUGGAGGAAACACAGCAAACCAUGGCAGCAGUUUCUAGUGGGGAACUAGAAGAGGUGGAUAAAAGAAAGAAGCUCUUAUUACUUUCUAUCUACUGGGUUGUGUUGGGAUGUUUUACAAAGAGAAUAUAUCUACUUCUUACAAGAGUGGAGAACAAAAAACUGGAGACAAUAAAAAGAUCUGUGGUUGCCAGGGUUUGGUGGGAGGGAAAAUGGAAUAAGGGGAUUGCAGAGUUUUAAGGCAAUGAAAAUGCUCUGUAUGUUACCAUAAUGGUGGGUCCAUAUCAUUCUACAUUUGUCCAAACCACAGAAUGUCACCAGUAUGAGUGAACCCUAAUGGAAACUAUGGACUUCAGGCAAUUAUGGGGUGUCAAGCGGGUUCAUCGAUUGUAACCAAUGUACCACUCUGGUGGGGGAUGCUGAUAAUAGGGUUGCCUUUGUAUGCCUGGGGGCAGGGGAGAUAUGGCAAAUCUCUGAAACUUCCUCUCAAUUUUGCUGUGACUCUAAAAACGCUCUAAAAAAUAUAAAGUCCUAAAA
ensembl:lncRNA